rnacentral:lncRNA from 1 species
AACAUUGAAAGGCUAGAAUUAGUAAACAACAACUUUGUUUGAGUCCAACAUGUGCACAGGGGCAAGAGGGGUGUUUUGUUUACAAACAUAUUUGCCGAUUCUCUGUUGUCAAGUCGACGCAAAUUUCCAACGGAGGAAAUUUUUAGCUAUAUUUUAACAACCAUUAUAACGUUAAUUUAACUUAUUUGUGUUGUAUUUUAUAGGAAAAUUUAAAAUAAAAAGAAUAAAUACUACAAUUAACCUAUUUUAAGAAUAAAUAUAAUAUCCUUAAGCAAAAAAAAAAACAAAAUUACUAACAUUGUUAUCCCUAAAACUGCUUCUAAAAAAUUUAAAGCGACAACACCGGAGCUUAAGCGUCUGAGCCAUACGCGUAGUGUCAUCUGUCAAACGGCUUUUUGUUUAUUUUCGGGAUUCGUGUAUUUUCUUUAAUUUUCGGUUUCAAAAGGAAAAAGGCCACAUUUUAGUGUUUUUUUAAAUUGCUAGGAUGGGAAAAACUUGUGUCGUUUGUGCCGCAUCAUGAUAAAAAGGUGAUUCAAGCCGAUCUUUUCACAAAUUGCCUAAUAUAUGCCCAAAGGGAACAAUGGAUUUCAUUAAUGGAAAUCAACACAAUUAAACAGAACAUAUUUGUUUGUUCAGAUCACAUCCUUAGAAGUGAUUUCUUAUAUAAGGAAGAUAAUAUUAUCAGUAGCCAGACUUAGACAGAUUAAAAAAAUCAGCUCUACCUCAAAGGAUUUCUGAUGCACUGGUUAAAAACACAGCAGCUGAUAAUUCAGUUAAUUUACCAAGUGAUUUACCCUUCAAAGCUGCAGGGGUAGCUUUCCUGAAGAGUGCAAAAACUUCUUUAGCUUCCAAAAUGGUAUAUAGUACAAACAGUGAAGCUGAUAUAGACAAAUCUGAUCAUUCAUCAUCAACAAUAACUGCAUCUGAGAUUAAUAGUUCUACAGUAACCGUGGAGUCUAGGUCAACAAUUACUAUUUCUCAUCCAAGCCGUUUUUGUUUAACUGCUACAUAUUCCCUGACUCUGCCAAGGAAAAGGGUAAAAUCAAAAUGAUAUCCUGAGGACCUAAGCACUGAUGAUUUUACCGUUUCAAAAGCUAAAUCACUUGUUACCAAAUUAUGGAAAAAAAAUAAAGAGCAAAAAAUUAAAAUUCGAAGAUUGCAAUAAACAAAUUUGCCCCAAAGAAAUUGAAUUAGAUGUCUCAAGUUAUUAUUAAAAUACUUAAGAAAUAAUAACAUGAUUUUCG